AAAUUUAGGAUAUUACUAAACCGAGGGCCUUCAAAGCCCUAAAAAAGGGGCCCCCCUUAAUUUCU
rnacentral:tRNA from 1 species